UACAGAGGGGGCAAGCGUUAUUCGGAAUUAUUGGGCGUAAAGGGCGCGUAGGCGGCUUCGCAAGUGACGGGUGAAAUCCCUCGGCUUAACCGAGGAACUGCCUGUCAAACUGCGUGGCUUGAGACCAGGAGAGGUGAGUGGAAUUCCCAGUGUAGCGGUGAAAUGCGUAGAUAUUGGGAGGAACACCAGUGGCGAAGGCGGCUCACUGGACUGGUACUGACGCUGAGGCGCGAAAGCCAGGGGAGCAAACGGG
rnacentral:rRNA from 1 species